AGUGAACGCUGGCGGUAGGCCUAACACAUGCAAGUCGAACGGCAGCACAGUAAGAGCUUGCUCUUACGGGUGGCGAGUGGCGGACGGGUGAGGAAUACAUCGGAAUCUACUUUUUCGUGGGGGAUAACGUAGGGAAACUUACGCUAAUACCGCAUACGACCUACGGGUGAAAGCAGGGGAUCUUCGGACCUUGCGCGAUUGAAUGAGCCGAUGUCGGAUUAGCUAGUUGGCGGGGUAAAGGCCCACCAAGGCGACGAUCCGUAGCUGGUCUGAGAGGAUGGUAAGCCACACUGGAACUGAGACACGGUCCAGACUACUACGGGAGGCAGCAGUGGGGAGUAUUGGACAAUGGGCGCAAGCCUGAUCCAGCCAUACCGCGUGGGUGAAGAAGGCCUUCGGGUUGUAAAGCCCUUUUGUUGGGAAAGAAAAGCAGCAGGUUAAUACCCCGCUGUUCUGACGGUACCCAAAGAAUAAGCACCGGCUAACUUCGUG
rnacentral:rRNA from 1 species